GCCCCCCGCGGUGGCACGUGCCUGUAGUCCCAGCUACUCCGAAGGCUGAGGUGGGAGGAUACCUUGAGCCCAGGAAUUCUAGGCUGUAGUGCACUGUGCUUAUUGGGUGUCUGCACUAAGUUUGGCAUCAGUAUGGUGACCUCCCAGGAGAGGGGGCCCACCAUGCUGCCUAAGGAGGGGUGAACUAGCCCAGGUUGGAAACGGAGCAGGUCAAUUCUCCCAUACCGAUCAGUAGUGGGACACCUCCUGUGAAUAGCCAUUGCACUCCAGCCUGGGCAACAUAGAGCGACCCUGUCUCUA
ensembl:misc_RNA Metazoa_SRP Metazoan signal recognition particle RNA